rnacentral:lncRNA from 1 species
UCUCUUCUAAGAGAGUUGGGGGCUAAAACUCAAAAUGUUUACAGUGCUGCAAAUCACACCAAUGGGAGUUUUGGAAGUAAUUUUGUAUCUGCUCACAUACAGACCAGUUUUAGGAGUGGUAAUCCAACUGGGACUUACAAGAACGAUUACAAUAGCACUCAGGGACAUGGAAGUAAUAUUGCAAAUAUGCACAAUGGUAUGAACUGACAG